rnacentral:rRNA from 1 species
GACGUAGGGGGCCAGCGUUGUUCGGAAUUACUGGGCGUAAAGGGCGCGUAGGCGGGCCGUCAAGUCAGGGGUGAAAUCCUCCAGCUCAACUGGAGAACGGCUUCUGAUACUGGCGGCCUCGAGGGGGGUAGGGGCAUGCGGAACUUCCGGUGGAGCGGUGAAAUGCGUAGAUAUCGGAAGGAACGCCGGUGGCGAAAGCGGCGUGCUGGACCCUUUCUGACGCUGAGGCGCGAAAGCCAGGGGAGCAAAGCGGG